UUAUAUAUAUGAAUGGGUUUUAGUCACACAGUGGUGCCAUUCAUUUUAUUUGGCCCAUUUAUUGCAAGUACAUUCUAAAUUUGGCCUUAAUUAUUUUUCCUUUCACAAAAAUAUUUUGUGGGCUCUUUUUGAACCCCUACUACUUCCUUCUUGCCCCUUAAGACAGAAUCCAGGAGUGUUACUUUUGUUCUCUUCUAAUUAAAAUAAUUGCUUGGUUCCUUUUAACUAGAUUCGUUCAGUUAUUAGCCUAAUACAUGGAUGGGUGCCAUGGGGUGCUUGAGAAACAAAAUGAAAAGUGAUCGUGUAGCUUCACAUGAAAAAGAUUGUGCAGUGCCAAGGAGCAUUACUCCUUUCAGCUGGCAUUUUAUAACGGCCUUUAGUAAACCUGGCCUCCCCCUGCCCCCAUACCCUCACUAAAAGACUAUUAAGUGAAAGAAUGGUUCUAUUUUCUCCAUUAGGUAGACAGUGAACUUACUACAAUUUGAAGAGGGGCACUUGAUAUGCUGGGUAUGGCCCAAAGACUGGGGGGCUGGUUUUAAUCUCUGCCCCGGCUUUGUCUUUCAGAAUAACUGCAAUUGAAGGAUAAAUGCUCCGUGUCCUCUCUCUGCCAGUUGGCGUUUAUCAGAAGGCACUGGAAGAAGAGGGACAAAGGUGCCUGGAUGUUUGUCUAUGAGCCUAAGUCUACGAUUCUCUGAAGCAAAUAUGCCGGUGAAGUUGCCUGAUAAAAAAGCAAACCUCCCAGAGUCUUCCAUUGGAGAAUUGUCACCUGCAAAGACCUCUGAGAGGGAAGGGAGAAGACUGGAAAUGGAGCGGUGCGGAGAUGAUACAGGGACUGCAGACGAAAACGUCGACACAGCCCCCAGCAAAGCCCCAGGAGUUGAGUGCUCUUAAGAGAGACGCAGACUUAAAGCCAGAACCCUCACUAACCCUGGUGCUCACCAUCACAACCACAUGGCCUCUCCUUUAUCCCAUCUGAUCUCCAGGUAAGGAAGAGAUAACAUGAUGCUCCCUGAUGCUGGCAAUGAAGGAGUCUUGGCUUGUCAUGUGGGCUUGAAGGCAGGGCCUCGGGAUCAUGUGGCCAUCAUCUCAAAGACACUGGGGGAUAAGGUGGCAAGUACUGAACAGAAACACUAAGAAUUGAAGAGAAGCACUGGAUAGGACGGUUCCUGAAAGCCCCCUCAAGCCUCGGCUUCCCUAAUUGAUAAGCUGUUCUGGAACAAUUCUGCUUGACAUGGUGCCCCGGCAGGAUGCUCUCCAGGAAGAUUCCUGUGAGCCUGACUCAGAAGAGCAGCAGUCUGUCCGUGAACCUGGCGAAGAAUUUGAUCUCGAGAAUUUGAUCUUCCUUCCGCAAGAGCUUGUGAUGGCCACGUUUUCCUCUUCUCUGACUUCUUAUCAGCUUUUCAAAUGGUGGAUUUAGAAAAACUAGAGUUAUUCUAGCAUUGAUUAUGUGAUCUCAGAUUCUUACAAGUAGUUUUCCUCCAGAUGAAUAUUGGGAAGAGUUUGGUAGCAAGCUAUAUGGUGAGGCAGGAGACUGGAAUGAAAGUCCAAAGGUGUUGUAAACUGGGGCAGGUUGCUUCAUCUCUUUGACACUUUGUUUCAUCAGCUCUAGAUUAGAAUGUGGAUUAAAAUGUUUCUAACUACUAAAGUCUAUAAAUCCUGAAAGCUGUGCUCCAGAGGAGAAAACACACACGUAUAUGUAUAUUUAUUCACUCUUUUGCCAUGCUUUUGUAGACUGGUUCCAGAGAGUUCUGAAUUCACCUAGUAAUAACAUUAUCUUAAUUUGGUAUUGAAGACACAGUUCCAAUAACUUAACCCGUAAGACUUGUACACUGGCUGACUUCCAUCCUUUCCCUAAUAAAGUAGAUUAAUUAAUCCAGGCAAUUACUGUCAAGCAAAGGAGCAAGGUUGGACAUUCUCUGAGAAAUUUGGUGGUUGUACAUCUGAUAUGGUUAAUUUGCAAGACCUUGGAUGGAACAUUUUAAUUAAUUAUUUCAGUUAUUAUUAUAUUUAGAUAGUGCUGGAUGGGUAGAAAUCUAUUAAAAUGAUAAAGUUUGGGUCAAUUUACCAACGAAAAGGAUGAACAUCCUUCUGCCUUUUCUUUUUUCUCUCUAGAACCAUAGUGAUUAGAGAAAUUAUAUCACGAUAUUGGGCAAAUAAAUUAGUCAAUCCCAGCCCAAAAGUAGUUUAUGAGCAAACCAUUAGAACCCUUUCCCAGUCAAAUGGAGGUCUAUUGAGAAGCAGUAUGUAAAUAGAGCAAAGCUUAUGAAAUGAAAUUGACAGGAUAGAAAAUUUUCAUAGACACAACCCGCCAACAAGGACUUUUCUUACACAUGUCUCCAUUACCUUGAUAAGAUUGGGAGGUGGCCAGUGGCUCUAUAAAUUUAAAGCAAAAAGUGGCAAUUAGGUCCUCAGGGUACAUCCUUCUCCCUCUUUUAUUCACUUCAGGUUCAUUGUUUUGGAUUUUUCAAUUAUAUUUUUAUGUUUCUGGUCCUUGGAGGAGGCUGAAUAUGACAUUUUGACAGUGGAAUCUGAAAGAGCUACAAUUCUAGAUUCUGUAAAUACUUCUUGAUCAUUAAAAAAUGUCUUAGUUUUAACUUUGAUUACUGUCUCAUUGGUCAAGCCCUUUGGAUUACAUAUACAUUUUAUUGAAAUGUCAAUCCCCCAGAUUCACGGUAUAGAAAUCUGCUUUUCAGAGGUUCAAACAGUGGGUGGUUUAGUUCAUAUCCUUUACCCCAAAAUGAAAAUUCUGGGAUUCUCAUCAGCCUUCUCCCAAAGCAGACCUUUAAAGCUUCCCCAACACAUGUAAAAACCAAACUUUAUGGGGAUCCAAGGCCAGCCAGGAAAUUUUAACAAAGACUAAAUUUUAGAACAGCGAAUCUUCAGUUGUGCAAAGGACAUUGCUAAACUUCUGGGUUGGAAGGUAUCCUGAUCUACCUAAUUCUAUUUAUGAAACUGCAUAUGUGCUUUGAAACUCCAUUUAGAUCCAACUCUUUCAGCUAGAGAUGGAAACCAUAUGUGUGUCUAAGGCCCAUAUGUUAGGGCUUGGAGAGUCUUAGAUUUUGUUUUGAUUUCCAACGCAGCAUCAUUUUCAGAUUUGGAGACAUCUGGGUAUGUCCUUGACCCUCUGUGUCAUGAGGCGAUAUUUUUGUUAUCCAUUCUUCUUCUUCUUAGAUGAUUCCCAUUUCCAUAUGCUUAGGAAGGUGUUGCGGCCUUUGGCUCUCAAAAGAUCGCUUUAAGGGGAACAGAGAAUCGAAGUAAGUAUGUGGAAAAUCAAGUUCACAGUCUUAUACCUGGGUGAAAUAGUAUUUUGUUUAUUGUUUACGUGAAUUCAUUAGGGCUUCUUUUCUCCUUCACACACUGUUUCUUUCCUCUACCACGGACCUCCAUUUCUGCUGCACACAUGCCCAAGGAUUGUGGACACACGCCAGUGUGAGGAUGGCUGGCUGACCUCCAAAUCUAUUUCCCCAUUCUUUCGAGGUGAUAGUCUGGUUGUAGCCAGACAUGUAGCCUCUCAAGGACUAUCUUCCAAACCUUACUGACAGGUGUGUGUUGAAGAUCUUAUUGAUGAAAUGUGAGCAGUAGGGAUAGGAGACAUUUCAAACCCUAUGUCCUAACACACAGCCUUUCCCUUUGGUUGGUACUAAGACACAGAAGAGUCUAAAACUAGCUUCAAAUGCAGAUGAUGGCAGUAUCCUGGGGGAUGAUGGACAAAAACAACGGGAAGAACUGAACUCUUCUAAUUUCCGCAAGGAGCAGAACCACCUGCUGACUGCUCCCCCCUCCCCCCAACUACUGGACUGGCAGGAAAAAAGCUUCUUUGUCCUUAAAAUCAUGUGUAGAUCUUAGGGUUUAUGCAUCAUAUAAUUAAAGGAAAAGGAACCCUUUUCUGCAUAAAACCAAGAGAGAUUCUUAGGCUGUGGGGACAUGGAUUCAGCAGAAAAUCAGUUCUCCAAACAAAACAUGUAGAGAUCCAUUCGGGGAAAAAUAGCCAGUAUGGUUAUUUGGCUUGAUGAUAUUGAGAGUUGGAAGAGUUGUUUAUUCAACAUGAACUCAUUUUUCUUCUUGGUUGGUUGGUCACUUAAACCUCUACUCUUGAAAUUUUUAACAGUUGAGUUAAUCACAGGGUUAGUCUUUGUUGAAAAACAUCUCUUCAGUGAAAGGGAGCAGACAUAAGAAUGAAAAGCCAAGUGUGUUAAGAUUUUCCUGAGGGCAGAAGGUCCGGGAGCUUUUCUCAGUAGCUCACCCCCUGGGGGCAGGCUUUAGUGGACAGCUCCUGGGCUCUGGUAGGUGAGAUCCGCUGGGACCUCAGUCUAUGAUUUCAUCUGACUUAGCCUCAUGUCUCUAAACUAUGACUUGGCAAUGGUGACUCCCAUUUCAUUCAUUUUUACAUCUGGUGGAUCAUUUGCAAUAAUGUCUCUAUGAUAUCUGGCACAUAGCACGUGUUCAAUAAAUGGUGUUCUGAGGUUGAGGGCGACUUCUGACAGGUUCCUAUUGCUGAUGGUGGCUACCGGAUACGGGGUUUGUGGAGGCAAGGACAAAGACUUGUGUUUCCAUGAGAGCAAAGAAGGAGGGGCUGGACUUCCAGAUUGGCUUCCUUUGGACUGAUUCUUUGAGAUUUCAAGAACCGCGAUGUGCCAAGCCUUUUAAAGAUCUCAAGGGAUUAAUAUGUUUUUAAACAUAAAAAAUAUGCUACAUGGGGGUGCUUGGGUAGCUUUGUCUGUUAGGUGACCAAGUCUUGAUUUCAGCUUGGAUCCCAAUCUCAUGGGUUGUGAAAUUGAGCUCCCUGCCUCAUCUGACCUUACCCUCAGUAGGGAGUCUGCUUGAAGAUUCUCUCCCUCUGCCCCUCCCCCCCAACCUGCACACUCUCUCCCCCUAAAAGAAAUGCAUGUUAAAAAAUACGUUCUAUAUUUUUGCAUCUUUUAUAGUAUAUCAGGAUUUGCAUUUGACUUGAUGCAGAGUGUAGUCUGAAGGAAUGUUUGAAUACACAAAUGCAUCGUUCAAUGGGACUGUCAGUGGUGCUUAUGUGAUGUUUAUAACGGUAUUAAAUA